rnacentral:rRNA from 1 species
ACUGACUGGCUUAUUGCACCACAUGUGUUUUUCUUUGAAACAAACUUGCUUUGGCGGUGGGCCCAGCCUGCCGCCAGAGGUCUAAACUUACAACCAAUUUUUUAUCAACUUGUCACACCAGAUUAUUACUUAAUAGUCAAAACUUUCAACAACGGAUCUCUUGGUUCUCGCAUCGAUGAAGAACGCAGCGAAAUGCGAUACGUAAUAUGAAUUGCAGAUAUUCGUGAAUCAUCGAAUCUUUGAACGCACAUUGCGCCCUCUGGUAUUCCGGAGGGCAUGCCUGUUUGAGCGUCGUUUCUCCCUCAAACCGCUGGGUUUGGUGUUGAGCAAUACGACUUGGGUUUGCUUGAAAGACGGUAGUGGUAAGGCGGGAUCGCUUUGACAAUGGCUUAGGUCUAACCAAAAACAUUGCUUGCGGCGGUAACGUCUACCACGUAUAUCUUCAAACUUUGACCUCAAAUCAGGUAGGACUACCCGCUGAACUUAAGCAUAUCAAUAAAACGAGAGG